rnacentral:rRNA from 1 species
UUCCGGUUGAUCCUGCCGGAGGACCUUGCUAUUGGGAUUCGAUUUAGCCAUGCUAGUCGAGCGAGUUCAGACUCGCGGCGAAUAGCUCAGUAACACGUGGCCAAGCUCCCCUUCAGUCAGCGAUACCCUCGGGAAACUGAGGUUAACAGCUGAUACACAACGCCAGCUGGGAUGCGGCGUUUCAGAAAGACAUCGCUGAAGGAUGCGGCUGCGGCCGAUUAGGUAGACGGUGGGGUAACGGCCCACCGUGCCAGUAAUCGGUACGGGUGAUGAGAGUCAGAGCCCGGAGACGGAAUCUGAGACAAGAUUCCGGGCCCUACGGGGCGCAGCAGGCGCGAAACCUUUACACUGCACGGAAGCGCGAUAGGGGAAUCCCAAGUGCGAGGGCAUAUUAGCCCUCGCUUUUCUCGACUGUACGGUGGUCGACGAAUAAGAGCUGGGCAAGACCGGUGCCAGCCGCCGCGGUAAUACCGGCAGCUCAAGUGAUGUCCCAUAUUAUUGGGCCUAAAGCGUCCGUAGCUGGCCGACCAAGUCUACCGGGAAAUCCACCCGCCCAACGGGUGGGCGUCCGGUAGAAACUGGCCGGCUUGGAACCGGAAGGCUCAGAGAGUACGUCCGGGGUAGGAGUGAAAUCCCGUAAUCCCGGACGGACUACCGAUGGCGAAAGCACUCUGAGAAGACGGCUUCGACAGUGAGGGACGAAAGCUCGGGUCUCAAACCGGAUUAGAUACCCCGGUAGUC